CCAUCCUGUGAGCACUCACACGCUCAGAGGACAGGUCCCUGGAUUGCAGUGCUGCUCCAAUGGCCUGUGGUGGCUGCAGGCAGCCGCGGCCUGGGGAGCCCAAGACUCAGCGUGUGGAAGGGUUGGGAGCAGCCCUGGGUGCCUGCAAGGAUUCGGGAGGUCAGCUGAGCAGGCCCGAGCAGGUCUGAAACUCUGCCACGGAGAGGCACUGGCACCGCAGCAGUCCCUGCAUUUCAGCAGCUGCCCAUCGGAGCUAAGCACAGCCUCGGCUCAGAGGUUUGCACUUUGCUUUCCACUCCACUGGCCAAGCCAGCCAGAUGUGCAGCAGCAGCAGGAUGGGCACGAGGGCCCCAGCUGCUGCGGUGAAUCCGUCAGCACGGACGCUGGUGCCGCUGCAGCCUGGCCCUGCAGCCUGGCAGGGUGAUCUCCUUUGGCUCGGCUCCUGUGGGCUCCAGAUGCUGACAGAGCAGCUGGAUGAGCAGAAAGCCUCUCGUGCAAACGGCUGUGGAGUGCUUCUCUCUGUUCCCUGCUGCUGGGAGGUGUUCUCUUCACUUCUCUUUUC